rnacentral:rRNA from 1 species
UUGCGUAGGUGGUUUAUUAAGCGAGUAGUGAAAUCUGACGGCUCAACCGUACAGGCUAUUAUUCGAACUGGUAAACUCGAGAAUGGUAGAGGUAACUGGAAUUUCUUGUGUAGGAGUGAAAUCCGUAGAUAUAAGAAGGAACACCAAUGGCGUAGGCAGGUUACUGGACCAUUUCUGACACUGAGGCACGAAAGCGUGGGGAGCGAACGG